rnacentral:rRNA from 1 species
UAACGCGUGGGUAACCUGUCUUNUACUGGGGGAUAGCAGCUGGAAACGGCUGGUAAUACCGCAUAAGCGCACAAUGUUGCAUGACAUGGUGUGAAAAACUCCGGUGGUAUAAGAUGGACCCGCGUCUGAUUAGCUAGUUGGUGAGAUAACAGCCCACCAAGGCGACGAUCAGUAGCCGACCUGAGAGGGUGACUGGCCACAUUGGGACUGAGACACGGCCCAGACUCCUACGGGAGGCAGCAGUGGGGAAUAUUGCACAAUGGAGGAAACUCUGAUGCAGCGACGCCGCGUGAGUGAAGAAGUAAUUCGUUAUGUAAAGCUCUAUCAGCAGGGAAGAUAGUGACGGUACCUGACUAAGAAGCUCCGGCUAAAUACGUGCCAGCAGCCGCGGUAAUACGUAUGGAGCAAGCGUUAUCCGGAUUUACUGGGUGUAAAGGGAGUGUAGGUGGCCAUGCAAGUCAGAAGUGAAAAUCCGGGGCUCAACCCCGGAACUGCUUUUGAAACUGUAAGGCUAGAGUGCAGGAGGGGUGAGUGGAAUUCCUAGUGUAGCGGUGAAAUGCGUAGAUAUUAGGAGGAACACCAGUGGCGAAGGCGGCUCACUGGACUGUAACUGACACUGAGGCUCGAAAGCGUGGGGAGCAAACAGGAUUAGAUACCCUGGUAGUCCACGCUGUAAACGAUGAAUACUAGGUGU